rnacentral:lncRNA from 1 species
CCAUAGGCCUGGAAGCCCAAGGGCCAUCAUCUGAGGAAGUUGCUGGAGGAAGCAAUCAGACGCUAAGCUAAGCCCAGAAGCUCUAGGAUGGCUCAGAGAACCACUGUGACACAUGUUGGAGCACCUGCUUGUCAUGCCAGUGCUCCUAACCCGGAGACACCCAGCAGCCGGAGAGAGUGCUCCGGAGGCAACACGUCACACAGCGCCGGGUUGGCACGUGGGGGGUCCUACCUCACCGCGAAGAGGUCCUGUAUGCUGGUCCUACAUGUUAAGAGGAAGAUGCCUACUUUUUUUCAUCCAGUGAUGGGGCAGUAACAGUGGACCUGAGCUUCGAGUCAAUUAACGUGUCUUGGUUACGCUUUUAGAAGUGGUUGCUGAAGAAAAACAGAAGAGCUUUUGAUUUUACCAGUUGAAAGAACUUUUCCAGAAGUCACAAAACGAUUAAAUACUGGGCCCCAC